rnacentral:ncRNA from 2 species
AACCACUCAUCGGGGCGCUUAACUGUGGUGUUUUAUUGCAUCGCAGUGGCUGAGACUAGGCAAAGGCCUAGGACCCGUAAACCUGAACCAGAUAAUGCUGGCGUAGGAAUUGAGUCGGGAUUAAUU